CUCCUCUGGAUUUGUACAAGCGACCAUUUUGUUGAGUUUUGUCUUUUUUCUUCUUUUUCAGGUCGUUGGAGAGCAUAACUAGCCAGGUUUUUCUCUUAACCUGCUCCUGGAAACCCUUUCUAACCGCAUAUUUUGUUCUUAAUUCUUUUCUGCUGACUUCAGUUAACUGCGAAUUUCCCAUCGGUUGUUUUUUGUUUUUGUUUGUUCAUGUCUUUACUGUUCUAGUGGGGCUUGAUUUUCUUCUUUGUAGAGUACUGAAGUUACUUAGCAAAUGAGCGUACGCUGGUUUUCUUGGUUGUGGGGAUUACUCGUGAUCGCACGCUAACAGGUUUCCACCUUAGUCCAUUGCUUGUGAUCAGGCAAGUUCACUUGUGAUGAGGCAAUUGGUAACCAUCUUGCGUAGUGACCUGGGUGUAGUCAAAUCUACUGUCUUUGGUGGUAGGUGUACAAAUUACCACCAGUGGUCCGCUGUGCCUAUGGGGUGACAUUUUAGUCUGCCCUGGGAACUAGUUUGUAAAGCCUCCUGUGAAACUGGCUCUUAGGGCUUUGGGGUUGAAAUGCUGAGGCCUGAUAUAGGUCAACGUUGAUUCAGGGACUAUGGUUGUAGAUCACAAUCUUGCAGUAUAUCCUAUGUUUCUAGUAUUAAUGGUACCUAUGAGAUGUAGUUAACUGAUAUUUUGCUAUAUGAGGAGGAAUACAUUUAUUUCAGUGAUUACCUGCCGAGCUAUGUUAUAAUGUUGAUUGUGCUACAGUAAUGGUAGUACAAUAUCUUUCUUUAUCAUGAUAGAAUUUUUACUGUAAUGUGUUUUACCAGGCUAAGCGUGCUGCAAGGGACCAAAGAGGCCAGUAGUGGACCAAAACAGAUAGCACUUCUCCCUUGGUUCCUCCUUGAACCCUGGCCAGGUUUUGGGAGAAAACCAACAGGAGACAGAGGAAACCAGAUGUUCCGCCUGACUGUUUCAUAGAUUGGUUUGUUUAGUGACACAAAAGCUGGACCUGCUUGCAGCGACUAUGGAGACCUCGACUACGGGGUGGACGCACUGCCGUAGGCCUUCCCAGUUGCCGGGACGGGUUCUCCAGAUCCUCGCUGCAACCAGGGCUCCCCAGCAGCUGCGGAUCUGGAUGGUGGUCAAAGUAGUAGAGUAGUGAUUGAUAAGUAGACUCAAAGUUAAAGAAUUGUUCAGGUUGGACAAGACCUUCAAGAUCAAGUCCAACCACAACUGAACCAUGCAACCCUAACUCUAGCAACCCACUGCUCGAUGAUGUCCUUGAGCACCAUGUCUAGAUUGUUUUUAAACACAUCCCUGUACCUUUCUUAAUCAGUAUUGCUAACUUACAUAGAGUGAUUAAAUGCUUUACUUUGCUUAUUUUCUUUAUCAUUUCUCUAUCUUUUGGCUAUAGGCACUGCUCUAUAUUUGCAUCGUUUUGAAAUGCAGGGUAAAAUAUGCUUAUUUCUUCAGUUGGUGUCUGUAUACUUCCUGUUAACCCUGUCAGUUGGCAAAGCUUCUGGUGUCAUAUAGCAGAUUUGAACAAAAUGUCACUGUUUAAAUUUAAGCAGAAUGUCUUUGCUCCAUCUGAGCUUCCUAGAUGUGAGCGGGUUCCAUUUAGUUCACUGGUUCUUGAGCGGACAAAGGUUGGAGAGUUGUUUAAACAGUGUGCAAGUGAGUUGAAAGAAGCCAAACUGCUGAACAUAAUUCAACUGUGUCCAAAAAAAAAAAAAAAAACACAGAUGAUUGAUAAUGGAGAAGUAACCGGGGGCUUGGGAGGGCAAAGAUGGAUCUUGUUAGCAGCCUGUUGGAACCAGAACCAACAAAAAGAGCAAUUGUUGCCAAGUUUUUCUCACAUAGAGGUAACAAGUGUGUGAUUUGCAGAAUUAGAUUGUGAUGUUGCAGUGCCGAAAUAAGUUGUUUGUUGAUAAGCUGGGUCUUUUUCAGAAUGGAGGUGAGAGGGGUGCUGUUGGCGUUGUGCAAUAUGAGAAGAGAACAAAUGAAUCUUAAGGAAGUGCGUUUAGCAAUUGCAGAAGCAGUUCUGCUUUUUGAGAGCCCAGCUGUCAGGAAUUCUGAAAUACAUGAACUCAAUCAGUCAGGGCAAGAGGGCUCUAGAAUAAUUGGUGAUGGAAGAGAGCUUUCUGCUCUUUGUCGAAGCCAGACGUGAGUGCCUGCCGCUAAGGACUCAGACUUGUUCUUUCUUCUCCCAUUUUUGAUUAGUUAGGUUUUCUGUUGCUAAUUAUUCUGUAUUAUCUUUAAUAAAUUAUCUCUUCUACUUACA
ensembl:lncRNA